CUCCUCUCAAAGUGGCUGUGAAAUGCUUAUAUUUGAAUUGCAUAUCACAGCCAGCUUUGAUGAGCUCAG
rnacentral:pre_miRNA from 12 species